UUCAUGGAGAGUUUGAUCCUGGCUCAGGACGAACGCUGGCGGCGUGCCUAAUACAUGCAAGUCGAGCGGACCGACGGGAGCUUGCUCCCUUAGGUCAGCGGCGGACGGGUGAGUAACACGUGGGUAACCUGCCUGUAAGACUGGGAUAACUCCGGGAAACCGGGGCUAAUACCGGAUGCUUGAUUGAACCGCAUGG
rnacentral:rRNA from 1 species